AAAUAAUCAAAAAAAUCAAAAUCAAAAUCAAAAUCAAAAUGAAGAAUUUGUUUGAAAAAAACGAUUUUAUUUUUGUUUUUGGGCUAUUUUUGCUUUUUUAUUUUGUGUCCCAUUUUUUACCAACCAUUCAGAUAAACAAGUGGG
rnacentral:ribozyme from 13 species